CCUGUGACAUAUGGAAGUUCCCAGGCCAGGGAUCGAAUCCUAGCUGCAGCUACAGUAACUCACUGUGCUGAGCCAGGGAUUGAACCAGCACUGCUGCAGAGACACCACCAGAUCCUUAACCGAGUGCACCACAGUGGGAACUCCAAUCAAAUAUUUAAAUAGGAAAUGAUUAAUACUUUCUUAUUACAAUUUAUAUAUAUAAAUAUAUACAUAUGCUUAGCCUCCAAAUCAGCAUCUGAUAAGAGGGGGAAUACCUGAAGUCAAGUUUAAGGCAUGGACUCCCAUUAUUUCUACCACUUAUUAUGAUUGGAGGUAUUAGCAAACAUAAUUAGUAAAAAAAAAAGAAUUGGAAAGGAAAAGAUAAAAUUAUCUCUAUUUGCUGAAGACAUGAUAGAAUACCUAGAAAACUAGAAUAUAAAAACAUAUAAAAAUCAACACAAAAGAAAAGAAACCAAGAUUAAAUGCUUGAGUAUAAACUUAGAAAUUUGCAACACUUACAUGAAUGAAAGUUUAAAACUAACUCCUGAUGGACUGAGAAAUUCAAGAGUAAAUUUGACUAAGCGGAAUGAUGUCUCUCGUUCUUGGUCAAUUCAUCAUCAUAAAAAUAUUAGCUCUCUCCAAGUUAAUAUGUACGUUUAACCUGAAACCAAUAAAAGUUUGGAUUGAAAUAGGGUCUACUCAAGGUAACUGACUGAUAUCUUUUAAGUCUCUUCCUAUUUACAGCGCUUCUUAGUCUCUCACCCUUUCCCUUUUCCUCACACUAAGACCACCAUCCCCAGGUAAUCUCUCUAGCAAGACAGACCUCAUUAUGCGAUGGCUGUUUUCUGAGAACAAGGAGGAGGCAGCAAGAUCUUUAAGAUGCAGCCUUGCAAGCUGCGUGUCACUUCUGACACAUAUUAUUAAUCAUAGUCAGUCACUGGGCCAGCCCAGAUUCAAGGAAAAGGGAAAUAGACUCUUAUCUCAAUUUGAAAAACUGGCAAAGUAACAUUGUAAAAAAUAAAAAAGCAUGUGGGAUGGGAACUACUGUUACAGCCAUCUUUGCAAACACAAUCUACCAUAAAAUGCAAAUGAAAACUACAAAAAAACUUUCGCAUCCAUCAAAUUGCAAAAAUCUAAAAGUUGACAGUGGCAGGCUCGAAAGAAAUAGGCAAUCUCAUGCACUGCAGGUGGAAGUAGAGUGUGGUAAAGGCGCUAUGCAAGGGAAUCUGACAAUAAUUACCCUUUGACAGCAAUCAAUCAUAAUCCUACUUCUACCUACUUGAAUAGAAUAUGUACAUAUGCUGGUUGCGUUAACUUCACUUUUCUUUUCCUUGACCCAUAAGAGUAAGCAGUACAGAAGCUAUGAUUUUCAUUCUUUUAAAAUAACUAAAAGCAUCAUCAACUGAUAUGCUGAGCACCAUUGCUGGUCUUAUAUUCUGAUAAACAGAGGAACUCACGGUAUAUCUGAUAAGGUCUGAUUCUGCAAGUAACUUAAUAUUCUGCAUAUUUAUGUAAAGAUGAACUUUAGCUUCCAAGUUAUUCUUAAAUUAAUAUGUAAUGAAAUCAUUUGUCUGGGUAUUUCCUAUGCAUUCCCGUUAAUCUCCUAAUGACUUUAUAUUAGGCAUUGCACCUCACACUCCAAAAUUAGUAACAGACUUAUCAGAACUAUUUUCACAUAUACAUAUACUCCAUGUACACCUGAACAUAAGCAGGUUUAUUUCUAACUAUCCCUCAGAAGUCUUCUUUGUUGAGGCCUCACAAAAUCUCUUUACAAGGAGUACUCUCAAUUAUUUAUUUGAAUUUCAGGUAAUAGUUGGGAAAUCACAUUAGACUGAAGCCACUUCUAUCAAUGUUACUUUCAGAAAGCUAAAAAUAAAUAAAUAAAUAAAUAAGCCACCAGGUGAAGUAUUUAAAAACAAGACAUCUUAGUUCCCAUUGUGGCUGAAUGGGUUAAGAACCCAAAUAGUAUCCAUGAGGAUGGGGGUUUGAUCCCUGGCCUUGCUCAGUGGGUUAAGGAUCCGGUGUUACUGUGAGCUGCAGCACAGGCCACAGAUGACGCUGGGAUCUGGUGUUGCUGUGGCUGUGGCAUAUGCCUUAGCUGCAGCUCCGAUUCAACCCCAGCCUGGGAACUUACAUAUGCCACAGGUGUGGCCCUGAAAAGAAAAAUAAUAAUAAAAAAAAAGAGAUAAAGAAAUAUAACAAUGACUUAGUUAUUAUUCUUAGAGACAUGAUCUCAAAAACAAGCAUAGUAUGCAUUACAACAAGCAUUUUAAAGAUCACUUUUGGCACAACACGGUAAAUCAAUUAUACUCUAAUUUUUAAAAAGUAAAAAAAUAAAGAUCACUUUUAAGAACAAUAGAAGUGGUUAUACAAUGCAGAAAUUAAUUACCUACAGGAUGCAUGAAAACCAUUUCUAAUUUGAUAUUUAUACAAUGAAUAAUCUGAAGCAUGAAAUUUCUUUUAUCAUACCUGUGUAAAACAUUCCUAUCUUUCAAAACAAAUUAUUUUUCCUAUUAUAGUUGCUUUAUAAUGUUCUGCCAAUUUCUGCUGUACAGCAGAGACCGUCACACACACACGCACACAUUCUUUUUCUCACAUUAUCCUCCACCAUGUUCCAUCACAAGUGA
rnacentral:lncRNA from 1 species